CUCCUCCCCUCGGCGGCGUGACAGCCUCGGCCUGCCGGUCUCCCGGGUGGGCUGGGGGGCGGGCACAGGCACCCCGGCCACUUUGGAGGCUCGGGGAGAGGUUCGUAGAAGAGGCUGAGCGGACGGAGCGGAGGCGGUGCCAGGCGCCAGGCGUCCACCUGCGAGGAAGGCGCAGCGGCCGUGGGAGCCUGGGCGGCGGUGGCGGCAGCAUUGUGCUCCGAGCUGCAAGGAGACCAGAACCCCAAAGAGAGUGGCUACAGCAUCCCCAGAAACUUCUAGAAAGCUUUAGCAAGGAUCCCAAGACUUCCACGUUCAACACUUAUGGAGGUAGGGAGAGGGUCCUAACCCAGAAGUUGGGCUUUCGAUUUCAAUCUCUUUCUCCUCAAAGCACUCAAAGCACCAGAAACUGCAUCUAGUAGGUUCUCAAACACACCCCAGCCCCAUCUCUCCUUACAGGCCCCCAAGCGUCAAGGACAGAUAUGCAGGAUUCCACAGAAUGGAUCAGAUGCAGAUGCUCAGACAUAAGGAACUGAAGAUAGGGAUGAGCCUGCGCAGGGUCUGGUCCAUCACAGGAGCGUCCGAUCAGACCCAACCUCUCUGUAGUCCCUAAGUGGGUGCCUGACAGCAGUCCCGCAGCUCCUCGCCUCGGCCUCCUCAAUGGAGCUUUUAAAAAGCUGGCCACCAUCCUCGGAGGGUCAACCACUUCUCUGGGGACACUUUGUCCCCGCCCUGUCCAGGCUUCCACAGAGCCUCAGGCCUGUGUCCCAGCCCUGCCACCCUCCUGGGACCCCUAUCUUCCUCCCUCUGCGUCGCCUCGUCAGCUGGAGUCCAGCUGGCAAGCAGGCUGUGCUGUGGGUCUGGCCAAGGCUUGAAGGAGGAGGAAUUUCUUCUCCACAUCCCGCUCUUGUUCACACAGCCCAGAGACCUGGAUUCAGAAUGCAGGCCAGGGAGGAGAUUCCAGAGUCCGGAUCCAGGUGGAAUGGAGGCCACAUUCACAGAGCGGGGGGUGGAGGGGGGCUGCUCUCCUCCCCACCCCCCCCCCACGUAGAAGCAAGAAAAGAACGGAAAACUUCCCAGAGGCAUCCAGCAAAGGUGUCAAGGAAACAAGAGAGCAGGUCACAGCCACCAGCUCCCUGGGGACAGGCUCCGAACACAGGUCUCUGACCCGUGAGAGGCAGGAAGUUCCUCCUGAUACCUAACCUCCAUCCCCACUGGCAAAUUCCAGACCGUUUUCCUCUUGGACUGCCCUGCCUGGGGAAGAACAGCUGGGUCCCUCUCUGCACAAUAAAUGCCUUCAGACCCUGGCGACUCA
ensembl:lncRNA